rnacentral:rRNA from 1 species
GGCGUAAAGAGCUCGUAGGUGGUUUGUCGCGUUGUUCGUGAAAUCUCACGGCUUAACUGUGAGCGUGCGGGCGAUACGGGCAGACUAGAGUACUGCAGGGGAGACUGGAAUUCCUGGUGUAGCGGCGGAAUGCGCAGAUAUCAGGAGGAACACCGGUGGCGAAGGCGGGUCUCUGGGCAGUAACUGACGCUGAGGAGCGAAAGCGUGGGGAGCGAACAGGAUUAGAUACCCUGGUAGUCCACGCCGUAAACGGUGGGUACUAGGUGUGGGUUUCCUUCCUUGGGAUCCGUGCCGUAGCUAACGCAUUAAGUACCC